rnacentral:rRNA from 1 species
CCUACGGGUGGCAGCAGUGAGGAAUAUUGGUCAAUGGGCGCGAGCCUGAACCAGCCAAGUAGCGUGAAGGAUGACUGCCCUACGGGUUGUAAACUUCUUUUAUAAGGGAAUAAAGUGAGUCACGUGUGCGUUUUUGUAUGUACUUUAUGAAUAAGGAUCGGCUAACUCCGUGCAAGCAGCCGCGGUAAUACGGAGGAUCCGAGCGUUAUCCGGAUUUAUUGGGUUUAAAGGGAGCGUAGAUGGAUUGUUAAGUCAGUUGUGAAAGUUUGCGGCUCAACCGUAAAAUUGCAAUUGAUACUGGCAGUCUUGAGUACAGUAGAGGUAGGCGGAAUUCGUGGUGUAGCGGUGAAAUGCUUAGAUAUCACGAAGAACUCCGAUUGCGAAGGCAGCUCACUAAACUGCCACUGACACUGAUGCUCGAAAGUGUGGGUAUCAAACAUGAUUAGAUACCCGUGUAGUC